GUGAAAUUCACGACAAAAUGAAAUGUGGGAUCUCGUUCGUCUUUCAGAGAUUUGGUUUCUUGAGGCCAAGUCUUGGAGAAUUACAGUUAAUUUUUUGCCAAAAAGCAUUUGAAUUCCUAUUUUCUUGCUAAUCAACCAAAUGGAUCAUUCGCGUUUCUUGCUAAACUGGAAAUAAAUAUUGAUUACGUUUCUCUUGUAGGAAGUCUUUGAUAAGUGGAAUUUUAAAAUUUGCAGUUUGUAUAUAUCUUGCUUGGGGUUUUGUUUUUGAAAUUGGUUGGUUGCUUCGGGGUUUCUGUG
rnacentral:misc_RNA from 1 species